ensembl:lncRNA
AAACUAAAUCUCCUGCCUUUUAAUGUGAAACCAUUUCUGCUUGUCUUCUCACAACAGACUCUGCUAUAGUCUUUCCCGUCUUACAGCUCCUCUUUAGAUACUGAAAGGCCACUAUCAGAUCACCUCAGAGCCUUCUCUUCUCCAGGCUGAGCAAUCAGCCCCAGCUCUCUCAGCCUGUCCUCAUAGGAGAGGUGUUCCAUACCUUGGCCCAGUUUUGUGGCCCUCCUCUGGACCUGCUCCAGCAGAUCUGUAUCUCUCCUGUACUGAGGACUCCACACCAGAACACAGUAGUUCAGAGAUCAAGGGAAGAGGAAGGAAAGUGACUCACAACAAGCAGAAGCACUGGAAGAAAACCAAGAUUUCUUUUCCAUCCAGUUAGCAGUCAGUUCUGUAGGCUGCAUGACAUCCUUGAGCUAAUGUUAGCCAUUUCUUAAGAAAUCAGAAGGAAAAAGUGAUGGGAAACAAGAAUAAAGAAUGGCUAAAAUAAAUAGGUUGAGCUGACACUGUAUAUGUUUUCAAAGCAGCUGUUAAAAGGCUGUUUCCAAAUAUAAAGGGCCAGUUCACAGAAGGUACACUGGAAAAACUGAACAUUACAUUGAAGUGCAAGCUUUCCUAAGGUGAGCAAAUCCUUUAUGGGGAGCAGAAAGUGUCCAGAACAUAUGUUUGGCCUAUAUCAGGGCAUUACACUAAACAUUACACUUUAAAAAACCUCUGUCAGAUGGUUUAAUGUCCACUUUAACCCCUGGGCUUAGUCAGAGGGGAAUACAGGCACAUCUGAGAAUUCAAAGGUUUAAUUGAUGUCCCCUCUUUAACUGGAGUCUCCCAGACCCCAGAUCAGAGGAAAGCACCAGAUACCAGGAUGUAGCUGGAAGUCAGCCUGAACACAGCUUUCUCUCUGUAUUGAUCUUCCCUGAAAGAUUGAUGUGUAGUUUGAUCUCAUCUCCAGAACACAGAAGGGUUGAUACCAGUCCUGUGGAAUUCAACCCAAAAGGCAUUACCUGGUGCUUCAUAGUUGUCAGGCUCAGGUUCAAGCUGUGAAUAAAACUGUGCAUACAAGUGAUCUAAUUAUGCAUGCAAAUAUCUCGUUAGAGCUCCAGCUGAUUAUUUGCCUCUGUAAUUUCUGUAGUAAAGAACAGCAUAUUAUAGCCAAGCAUUUUUAUACAUGAGGUUCUAAAAGGCUGAAGCUCAUCAAGCAAAGAGUUUCUUUUCCUAGGACAAUAAAACUGUAGAACAGCAGAAGCAGCAUCUGUAUGAUCAUCCCGUGGGGGCAGGGGCCACCUGCUCUGAAAGGCCAAAGACCUUGCAAUUAAGGCAAAAUCUGCUCAGAGGGCAGGAAAAGUUUCUUCUCAACUCUCAGUAGUUAAAAGUUGGUGCACACCAAGGAGCAUGAGAGCUUCAAUCCUUUGAGAACUCUGCAUAUUUUGCGUAGAUACAAGCCUCUCCCUUUGUAAUCCUCUGAAAUCCUUGGCUUUAAUAAUAGGGAAUGACUGCCACUGAUAUCAGAGGACAGUAUGGAAAUUCACUGUCUUUAACGUAUUUCAGAUUCAGUGACCUUCUUCAUAUACUCUUACUUUCAUGUUAAAGAGGAAAGGGAAGUGGAUAUUCUUGCAUACUUGAAUUGUCUCUAUUUACACAUAUGCAGCGUGUUCAAGAAAGCCUAAUAAAAAUUAAAUUAAAGCCAGUUAAUACCUAGUUCAUACCUUGAGGAUACAUUUCUGAUUUGGAAUAUAAGUGCAUGGAGAUACAUGAGACCCAGUUUCAGCCCAGUUUUCUACAGGUUAU